GACGAACCGUGCGACCGUUAUUCGGAAUCACUGGGCUUAAAGCGCGUGUAGGCGGAAGGGCACGUCUGGUGCUGAAAUCCCCCGGCUCAACCGGGGAACGGGCACGGAUACGACUCUUCUGGAGGAACGUAGGGGGACCUGGAACUUCCGGUGGAGCGGUGAAAUGCGUUGAGAUCGGAAGGAACGCCCGUGGCGAAAGCGAGGUCCUGGACGUUUACUGACGCUGAGACGCGAAAGCCAGGGGAGCGAACGGG
rnacentral:rRNA from 1 species